GUGAUCUUUUUAGCGAUUGUAUACUUUUUAUACAUUCAUAGUAAUAUUUUGGAUAUGUUUUGUUGAAGAUUAAGAUUUUUGUAUUGCUCAAUUUAAGUUCAAUAAGUAACAUAGAUCACAAAGUUUGCUAAUUUAUAUUGAUGCUUUAAGACUCCUUACAUGACGUUUCCGCAACACACCCGAGGUCAAAGUUCGUAUAUAUUAAAAUGCAACAAUGUGUAUAGUUCGUUAUUGAGGAUAAUGUAUAGAUUAUUUUACAUAGGGAAAGAUAUUUAUACGCUAUAGUUAAUUGUAACUGUUUAAUUUCAACUUAUGUUUACAUUAAAUGACAUCCUUAAGCCAACUUUACUAAUAUUGAUCGCUAUUUUCGUGUUAUACAUCUAUAAUCAUCUUGUUGUUAAAGAUUUGAAGCUUUGCUGCGAUAAUACAGGUUGCGGUAAGCCAUUUCGGCGUUCCUUUUGGCCAGAAAACAUAAUUGACCGGCAGCCAUUUCGUUGAUCACGUGCACAAGAAGACAUAAGUUACAUACAAACAAAUGGUAAAUUUUGUAAAUAGCUUUGGCUGAUGGCGGACCAAUAUACUGUUUGAUGUCGGCUCUGUGGGCGAACAAAUAGCGAAGUUAGAUGAGAAAGUGAAUUAAAAAACUUUCGAGUCACAAACAUAUUUUUCAACCUGUCCACGAACGCAACGUCUAUGGCUCUAGUUAUGUUCGAUGUUGUCAAUAUAAUUACAUUAGGAUGUCUGAAAUAAGAAGAAAACAACAUUGGGGAAGACUAGGUUUAGCAAAUAAACGCAUAAAUGUAGUUCAAAUCAAGACUUCUGUAAAUACGUAAUUGAUAGAUAAUAAGUAUUUGACUGAGCAAAGUUGUCAUCAAGCAAGUUUGUUCAUGUUAUAUAAAUAUUUUCGUGCUUUUACUCCCUGUAAAAGCGACAACAUUGUAGAGAAAGAAAUAAUACAUAGUUCUAAAGAUAGCAAA